rnacentral:rRNA from 1 species
GGUAACGACGGGCCGAGGGCGGCGGGAAGACGUAGGGGGCGAUCGUUGGCCUGAUUUAUUGGGCGUAAAGAGGGUGUAGGCGGCUAGGUAGGUCCGGUGUGAAAACUCGAGGCGCAACCUCGAGACGUCGAUGGAAACCAUCUAGCUAGAGUCCGGAAGAGGAGAGUGGAAUUCCUGGUGUAGCGGUGAAAUGCGCAGAUAUCAGGAAGAACACCCGUGGCGAAGGCGGCUCUCUGGGACGUGACUGACGCUGAGACGCGAAAGCGUGGGGAGCGAACAGGAUUAGAUACCCGGGUAGUC